rnacentral:rRNA from 1 species
GAAGGGACCWAGCGUAGUUCGGAAUUACUGGGYGUAAAGCGCGCGUAGGCCGUUGAGUUAGUUAAUUGUGAAAUCCCAAAGCUUAACUUUGGAACUGCAAUUAAAACUGCUCGACUAGAGUUUGAUAGAGGAAAGCGGAAUACAUAGUGUAGAGGUGAAAUUCGUAGAUAUUAUGUAGAACACCAGUUGCGAAGGCRGCUUUCUGGAUCAACACUGACGCUGAGGCGCGAAAGURUGGGUAGCAAACAGGAUUAGAUACCC